UAUCUAGAUUCUAGAAUCAAUGGAAUUGAAUUCCCAUCCCAGACAGAUGGAGAAGAAGUGGAAACUGCUUUGUUCUCAAUGCCGAGGUUGAGCCCCAAACUGGAGAGCGCUCUAACAAGGAGUUACAGCUCAGAAUCAGAAUCACAGAGCAGUUUGGAACAUGAAUUAAGCCUCACCAGAUGCCUGUGAAGAAAAAUCCAGGAGUACCGAUUCCCACUUCUGUGCCCCAACUACGAGACAACAUUACCUUGGCACUCCACACUAUUGAUCCAUAUUGAACAUUAGAGAGUUUCCUGGUCAUUAAGGACCAGAUUUUCAGAUUAGGUACUGAGAUCUUUUGAAAAUCUGAUCCCACCUGCAAAGAGACUGGUCACUAUACUGCAUUAGUAACCUACAAGAUGUGAUCAUUGGUGAACUGACCAAGCUGAGACUCUCCCACAGGAGAAGCUGAUCCACCAAGGAGUUUUUAAAUAAUAGACAAUGAAAUAAAGCAACUGUGAAAUUUUAGACUAACCUUAUA